rnacentral:rRNA from 1 species
UACGAAGGGGGGCUAGCGUUGUUCGGAAUUACUGGGCGUAAAGCGCGCGUAGGCGGCUUUGCAAGUCGGGUGUGAAAUCCCCCAGGCUUAACCUGGGGAACUGCAUUCGAGACUGCAUUGCUAGAGUAUGGGAGAGGGAAGUGGAAUUUCCGGUGUAGCGGUGAAAUGCGUAGAUAUCGGAAGGAACAUCAGUGGCGAAAGCGACUUCCUGGACCAAUACUGACGCUCAUGUGCGAAAGCGUGGGGAGCAAACAGG